rnacentral:rRNA from 1 species
UAUUAACUCUGGCGGCGUGCCUAAUACAUGCAAGUCGAGCGAACAGACGAGGAGCUUGCUCCUCUGACGUUAGCGGCGGACGGGUGAGUAACACGUGGAUAACCUACCUAUAAGACUGGGAUAACUUCGGGAAACCGGAGCUAAUACCGGAUAAUAUAUUGAACCGCAUGGUUCAAUAGUGAAAGACGGUUUUGCUGUCACUUAUAGAUGGAUCCGCGCCGCAUUAGCUAGUUGGUAAGGUAACGGCUUACCAAGGCAACGAUGCGUAGCCGACCUGAGAGGGUGAUCGGCCACACUGGAACUGAGAAACGGUCCAGACUCCUACGGGAGGCAGCAGUAGGGAAUCUUCCGCAAUGGGCGAAAGCUUGACGGAGCAACGCCGCGUGAGUGAUGAAGGUCUUCGGAUCGUAAAACUCUGUUAUUAGGGAAGAACAAAUGUGUAAGUAACUAUGCACGUCUUGACGGUACCUAAUCAGAAAGCCACGGCUAACUACGUG